CAGUGAGAACAUGGAAACUGUAGUUCUGAUCUAUUAGCUCACAGUUAGACAAACUCUGUAUAGCCAGUGUUGAUCUACCAUAUGUUGUCUUUCCUAUCAAUUUAUACCACCUCUUGAUCUGAUCAUUAACUUCUUUAUUUCUAAGCCUGGAUAUUUCUAGUAGAAAUAUGUUGACAUGAAAUACUAAGAAACACUUUGUCUACUUAACAAAGCACAGUUAUACAGUCAGCUCAGAACUAGCAAUGAAAGGCAUUUUUCCUCAAGCACAGUCUUUAGCGUGUCCAAGCUUCAGAGGACAUCUUUUUCAACCCUCAUCUGCUGUCAUCCUGCACAUUGCACAAAAACUGUUUCCUAUGUCACAGGUAGUACUUGGGGAUGACCACUCUGCCUUUGUUAAGAGCCUACUGGAAACUGCAUUAGGAUGAUGGCUCAAACUAAUAUUCCUCAUGAUACAGCUUAUUACCCUGGGCUCAGUGCUGUGCACGGUAGCUACAGAGCUUUUGCUCUGCAUGCUGGAAAUCCCUGGAAGGACUUUGUUACCUCUUCUGCCACAGGGCUCUACCCAGUGUGUUAUAAUCUGCCACUAAUGGUACUGUGGUUGAUAUUGAUGGGCAAAUCUCUGAUCAACAGCAAAGCAUCCACUUACAUCAAUGGUUUUUCCAAGUCUUACAUUGCAGCCGACUCUGUGUGUCUUUAAUGCAAAAGGCAAUCCUGUAGUUACUCAAGAAACCAAUUGCAGAUUGAAGAAAAUAUAUGUUGAUUUUUUUUUUGUUUUCUUUUAAAAAAAAACAAAAACAAAUGAUGAAGUCAAAUAAUUGUGGUUAAAAUGCCUUCCCCCCCACGCCCCCUAUAACUCUUUCUUGAGCCUUGCUGAACCAUUUUGUUGCAGCCUGAGGUAGACAGUAAGCUUGGAAUAUUUUAGUCAGUUAAAAUAUUGGCAAAAAAACUGAAAGUGCUAGGCAGUUUUAACUGUAGAUGUCACUACCAGCUCUCCCUUGCAAAAUGCUUGGCUACACAGGUAUUUUGGCUACACAGGCAGGACACAGCAUAGUGAAAGAGAUUUUUCCUCUGAAACUUUCAUUUUUUGCAGUAUAUUUUUCACAACAUGGUUCGCUUUCCACAUCUGUAAAUACCAUCCUGUUCCAGACCAUUCAUGAUUCUGAUCAUUUAUGUCAGCUAUGAUACAUUUGUGCUGUAGACAGAUACCAUGCCAAAUGCUUUGAUAUUAAAAAAAAAAAAACAACAAAAAAACCCAACAACUGAGGUUGCCUUAUUAAGCAUUGGUUUGCUUGACAAACAAGAUCUCUUCCAGUAUCUUAGCCCUGAUUCAUUAUGAAAUAAAAUCAUCUCUGAUAAUUAGCUUCUUCCUAGGCUUUUCAGGAAGCUAGACACACUCAGAGACACGUGAAUAGGAAUAAGUGGGAACAUAAGGAAUGUUUCUCCUCUGCCUACAACAAAAUAUUAAUGACAAGCAAUGCAAUUAUUGUUUUUGAGGUCUUUCAUAUUAAAUUGAGUGAAUAUUACUGCUCAAAAGUAUGAUAGGAAUCUAUUCAGAAUACUAAAUAGUCUCCUCAUUGUAUUGCAACAUAUUUGUCUUCAGUCUUGGACUCCAAAUCUAUUAAAUACAGCAGGACAGAAACGUGUGUCUAGAGAAGAGUUCUCUAGAAGCUGGAUAAUGCAGCAGAGACAAAGGCAGAGCUUUCAUGAUAAUCAACCGUAAGACAUCUGUGCUAACUCAGAACUUCUCUAAGUAUGAAUGAAAAAUGCAAGGAUUUAUUUAAGAUUUUCCAGACUGAAGGGAGAGUUAAACCCUAAAAGAGGACAAAAUAGCCCAACCUGUGAAUUCUUCUGGUUGAUUUUUUAGCUUAGCAGUUGCCUGUUCCUUGUUUUCAGUACCAUUAAAAGUUAUUCAACACCCAAUAUCCUAGUAUCUCCAUGCUUGUGAUUGGUUGAUCAUAAAAUGUAUGGAUAGGAAAUUUACCUCCAUUAAGCAGGAAAAUUGAAGACAUUCACUAAGAGCAUUAGCGGCAAGUACUUGCAGCAGCUAUGCAAUUGGCACAGUGAAGAAUAGAGAAACUUCAGUCUGUUCUUUUUCAAGAUUUUAUCAUGGAUUAUAUGACAUUCUACUUGCAAUAGAAGGUCCCUUCCAGGCCUAUGUAAAAUUAUCCAGAAUCUUCUUUACAUUUUCUUUUAAAUUUUCCAGAAAAAGUGCCUAAACUAAUAACAUUACCGUGUAUUUCUCUCCUGUUAGCAUACCUUCCUGUUCUUCCUUUUCUAGGGCUUAGGUUUUUUUCUCUUUCUCAGAACUUCCCUGAGAAAUUGUGGCAUGAUAUCAUUGGUCUUGCUAAAGUGCAGUUAGCCUUGAUGUCACCUGUGUCAUUUAUGCAGUCUAAGUUUAAGUGCUUGUAGAGUACAUAGUUGCUUUCCAUACUGCACCAACAUCAGAGAUGUCCCUUGAAAGUGACACUGUGUGUGUUCGGACUGUGACUCUGGAUGGCAAAGAAAGAUCACAUCAGCAAACUGAAUAGCCUUGGUAUUUUAAUUCUGCUGUUGCUUGACACAUUUUUCCUCUGGUACCACUGCAGAAGUUAGUGACAUCAAAAGGACUUGACUGUUUUUCUCCAUGGAGGUGUGUAAGCCCACUGGGAGUCAGCCAAAUGUAUUUUGUAUGACAGCAAGCAUGAGUUGUUCACCUUGCUUGACAGUCAGUGACAAAACACAAAGCUGUCAGCUGGCAAAGAGGGACAGUGGAAAGGACAGUGCAGGGCACCUGUAUGCCAGAGAGGCCUGAAUAUGUUAAUGCCACCCACUGCUGUGCCAUCUGCAGGUUAUUACUUGAUAGUGACUUGAUGGACAGUGACUUAUUAAAAAGAAGUCCCACCAUAUCCACUGCACAGGCUUAAGCACAGCUCCUGCUGUGCUGUUAUUUAUCUCUUCACCUGAUAAUCAGCAGUUGUUUUUAAUUUAUUUACUGGCAGUGACACAUGGCAGGAGUCCACAACUGCAGAAGACAGCAGCUGGUUGAGCCCCAGAGGAACCACUUUUAACAAGAAAUAGACAACAAACUACACUUUGACUUUACAAGAGAAGCCCUAUGGAAGUGGAUUUGUGGACAAGAGCAGGAGAGGAAACUACAUUUGCAGUAAAUAAAAGCAUCAUUCGCAGAUGUCCUAGCGGUGACCUUGGAAUUUGGAAAUACACAUCUCCUGGACAGCCAUUUCGUUUCCUUGAUCGUACUCUUCCUUGCUGUGAGUAAUGCAGUGAAUUAUGAAUGAAAAAUAAUCAGAACGCCCUGGCUCAAUUCUCCAGGCAAAAUGCACUCCAGAUUUCUGCUGGGAAGGCAAAGGAGUAAGCACUGCUCAGCUGUCCUGGAGCCACCCACAGACUCAGUUUCUCCAUGGCACUCAGCAUGCCAGAGGGACUGCAGGAGAUGGUGACUUGAGGUGAGGCUGAUAGGUUUGAGGAGCCCUGGGACAAUUUCUAAAAGUAAUUUACCUGCCUCUGCCACGUAAAAGAAUGGCUCAAAGAAAGUAGUUGGGAAAUGCAGUUUGUUGGGAAGCCGUCAACAACUAAAUCCAGGACUCGGAAAGCAGAGUUAACAUUGCUACUUGUGUAGAGCUCAUUAAAGAGCACUGAAGAGUUGAAGUAUUUUCUUUCUCUACCAGGGACUAUAAACAAGUGCAUAAAGGAACAUGCCACCGGAGUAAUGUCUGGGCUUAAUUCAAGGACAAUAUAGCUAAAUGUGAAACAAAGCUGUACCGGUAGCCGAGGUCUUAUCUCAAAAGAUGCUGAAGCACUGUAUCAUUAAAGAAAACCUAAGGCAAUCAGUAACAGAGACGGCACAGGAAACAUGUGUUGCACUAGGUAAAUGAUAGCCUGUGUCAUCUUUACACUGAGUGGAAAUCUUAUAUUAAUGAUUCCUGUCCUCAGGCAAGGACAUCUCUGUUUCAGUGCACACCCAUCACUGCCUUUACAAAUAAUGGUUAAUUUUCAGACCAUGAUAGACAUGAGUGACACCAACUCCAGGACUUUCUGUCUGUUAGCUCCACCGUAAACUCUCUCUCUCUCAAAUAAAGUUCCCCUAGUCCCUCACACAAGGUCUAACACACCAAGCUAAUCCUCCCAUCCUGUUAAGGUCUCAAUGCUACUCCUGAGCUCAUGGGCAGUUGCUCAGUAGUUUUAUUUUUGACUGAUUCAUUACUGUCACCCCUGGCUUCCCAUGUCAACAGGUUACAUGAUCCAGAUACUCCAGAAAUUACCCCACAACAGCAAUGAAAAAAUCAGCAUUGCACCAGAAGCACUUUAUAACUUAAGGAGCCUAGAAACCGUGUACUGCGUUAUUUUCCCUUAUUCAUAUGUUUCCUGUUUAACAUCCCCUACCUAACUGCUGUCUUCCAAGUUUCAGCCCUGUGUCUCUUCCUAUCAGAGCACAAUUGAUUUGCGAUGCUUUCCCGAGCGUACGAGUCCCCAUAUGAAAGAGUCCUUUAACAUCUGCUGUCUCAAGGCAUUAGAUUGUAACCUUAGGGCCUUCAUCAAUCUGUGUCUCCACCUUUAUUAACUGCAACUUCAAUUAAACCGAUGGGACUGGGAAGAAACUUGGGACCAGGCCUUCUAGAUUUGAACACUUUCAUAAUGAAACUCUUAUCUUCUUUCUGCAUAAUAAAGCUACAUCUAUUCUAAGAGCUAAUUAAAAAAUAAAUGUUAGAGUGAUGAGAUGUAUAUCAGUGGUGCCCAGAUCACAUGUGUACUACAUGCACAGAUGCGUGUACUAUACCUCUGCUGAAAUGUUUGAGCUGGAGAAAUUCCUUACAACAAAAGCCAAAACAGGUGAUGUUUCCUACUGACAGUUGUAUUGUUGUUGGUAAUUUCAGAUCUCUUGUACAUUCUUUGAAGAGAGAGCUUGUUCUGAUUUCUGUGGGAGGACUUUCUUCACAGUAAUGUUGUUUCCUAUUUCUUAGCAGUGGAGCAGCUUAUUCUCAUGCAAAGACCCACUCUGUACCUUUGGCAUCCUUGUGCUACUCAAUGGAAAAAGAAGAGAGUGAUUCUAUGAUUUAGUCUGCCACCUCCUUUUACUGAGAUAGCCUGCUCUGCCCUCCUGCUCCGUCCAAAUUCUCAAGGCUGUUCUGAGUUCUGAACACAUACUACGGUGUGUUUCUUAAGACAAAAAAGAAAAGAACUUCGGUGAUUAAUGCAAAGGAAGGACAGCAACACAUAUAACCCGAAGAACAGCUGACUAAGAAGAUUCUGCCACAGGAUCAUUUACAAGUGCAAGUUUCUUUAGCUGGCUGUUCUGACAUUCCUCUGCUACAUCUGUCAACUUCUGAAUAAGCUAAAAAAAGAAUUCCAAGAGAGAGAAACAUGCAUUUUCAGCUGAACAUCACACAUGCACCUAAGUUUCCUCAAAAGUCUGUGAUAAAAGAAGAAAGACACUGAGAACAGGCUCUGCUCUAAAAUCAGAAAGAAUCUCUCAUCUGCAAGUCAGAUUUUACAUGGAACAAAUAUUAAAUCCAGCAGAGCUCCGAGCACAGGUAACCAUGUCUACACACCCACACUGGAGCUGCUCCUGCUGGGUAACACUAAAAUGGCUCCCAUACAACCGACGAUAAACAGAGCACCAUUUGGGAGUGUCAGCUCCGAGCUAUGAUCCAUGGGAAUGGAUUUGUGAGAAGGCUUUGCUGAGCAACUGCCAGGCAUAUCACUCCUAUGACCUGCUUUUUGGAUGGCAGGACAGAGCAGACAAAUCACUUCACACAACAGCAAUGAGCUAAUCCCGCCUUCUUUAGGGUUGUACAUUGAAAAAAAAAGUGGCAGAGCAAAACGGGAACAUCAUCCAAAAGCUGCAGUAAAUUGAGGCUUAUGUAACAAGAGGAAAUGCCAUGCAUAGCACACACAGAGGAAAGUGCUCUAUGGACUCCUGACUACAGGAGGAAACUUACAUCCCAGUGGGGAAUAAGCCUCAGAAAGGCAACAUACUUGAGCAAAGAAAAAAGCUCCUGUCUUCAAAUUGCAACAAAGCCCUGUAACAGAUCUCAGAUACAGAAAACCUAGGAAAGCAGCUUUCUGAAAGUCAAGGAUACUCCACAAAUUCCACAGGAGACUUGCAAUAUUCUAGCAAGGAACUUCUCACGUGUUCCACGUGAAAGAAACUUCCCUAGCUGAAACCAGCCACCCCAGCACGCUGUACUGCUGUACCUUGAAAGAUAUUUCAGUUGUCAUAGUGAAGCCGUGCGUAAUGACCGGCUCUUCUUCAGCUGUUCGCCCUUUCCAGCAGUCCAGCUCCACACAGCGGCAGCCUGACAGAAGCACUUGCCGAUACAUCUCCACCGAAGAGUUCCCGGCCAGCUGUCCAGCUGAGACAACAUAACAAGGACAUGAAAAAAGAGAGUCAUUUUAGGCCUCGGGAAUAAAUACAAAUAAUCUAAUGAUAAUUAGAGUUAACAGCAUCUUUUACCCUUGGCUGACAGGAAUAACACUCAAAGGCGUACAAAAUACAUAAUGAUUUAAUGGAAAUGAUUUGGGCAGAGUCAAUGUCAUGGUUCGCAUUCUGCCAUAAGUUAAACCGUUGUGAGUGAGUAGAAAUAACUUUAUCAAAGCCAAUUCAUAAACUUCUGUUAGAAUCAACGUGAACUAACUUGUAUCAGUUGUAAGGAUUUUGUUACCCUAUAACAAACAAUGUGAAAUUCGGAGACAACUCAGGACAGCAGGUUUUCAAAUAUUACGCAGAUAAAAUCAACCUCCUGCACAGUAUCAUAUCAUAAUGAUAUCAUUACUAGGUCUCAAAUCUGUAUUUUAACACUAACCACUGCAUUGAGUUGGUCAGUAAAAUUUCCUGAUGUGAUACUAUACUGUGUAGGAAGAAGUUGAAUUACACUACCCAUUUCCAACAAUGACAUAAUAUAAAUCUCAAAAUAAACAAGGAAAACUUAGUUCUUCCCAAAUGCAGGAAGUAUUAAAUGCUAAACAAACAAGUCCAGUUGCUGUGCUCAGGGUAGGAUCUACAGCCACUGUGUUCUCUGCUGUUUCAACAGGCUGGGCUCCAGUUGGAUGGAUACAAAUUUCUUUAAGCACAGAGAGAAAGAUAACGGAAUUCCAGCCUAGUGCUUGCUUUCCAUGUUAAGAAAAUGGAUGCAGCUUCCUUCUUUCUAGCAGAUGCGUCAAGUAGGUUUUCAUGGAUCCUUUGGAGGGAAUUUACUUGCAUUCUAAGGAGGCAAUGAGUUCAUUUAUGCUAAAGAUUCUUCAUGGAUAGGAGUUACACAAAAAGUUUUAUCCAGACAGGCAUAUAACACAGUACAGAUGAAUCCUGGUUUUAUUGUCUCUUUGGCUCUAUGUUUAGAUUUUAUGCUGAAAACUAUGUUUCAGUUUGCUUCACCAAAACAGCACUGUCUGUUUACUCUCUGUUUUUACAUCCCACUAUAAAGAGUAACAGAAAAUCUCUUAUUGCUGGCAAGUUCUUGUUUACUGUGUGUGUCUGAUGCAUGAACUGAAACAAUCAAAAACACUCAAAACAUAUUAACACCACUUCUAUCGAAACCCCUAACCCUGCUGGAACCACCAGGAAAUACAUGUUAAUAACAUAAUUUGGCUAGUGUUGGAAGGUUCUGAAAAUCUAAACGGAGUCAGAAAAGUGAUGAUGUGUCUCUUUUUCCCUUCACUUUUUUGUGUGCUACCCCUUUGAUUAUAGCAGGUUAUCUUUACUCACACAAUAACCGUCUUGGUGCUAUCUCAGUAUCUGUGGUAACCAGCGGCUCUUUGUCUUUACAGGGUACAAACAAGCAGUAGCACAGAUCAGGGUACAACAGCACACAUUUCUGUGUAUUCAUACCUAAGGAACUGACAUAAAAUGGGUCCUCUGAGCUCUGCUGCCUGAAAAAGCGCAUUCACUUAGAAAACUUGUUUUCAUGUUCGCUUCCCUUGGUCUCAAAACAUUUUGAUUUGCAUUUUGAUUAACAAAUUAUUUUAUGAUUAACAAGCUACUAUAUCUGCUGAGAGAUGACCGGUCAUUAUUGCUAAGUGUUUUGGAAUACAAGAUCCAUAACCUUCAAAAGUGCUUAAGUAAAUCAUGAUAUGCAUCAUUUGCCAUCUAACACUUUUCCAUGCUGCCUUGUUAAUAAGGCUCAACCCUUUUGGAAGGAUUCCUGCUAAGGGCAAGAGGAUGUUUAACCUCCAAAACAUUCAAUCUUAAGACUCCCAGUCCGAGCACAAAAUGAUAGCAAGGGUUUCAAUACUCUCAGUAGCUUAUUUUUCCAAAUUUAGACUAUUAGAGAUGCUUGCUCAAUUUUUUUAACCAAUAUUAUUUAUAAACUUCUGUCAUGUCAUCUGCAUCUAUUCUGAAGUGUGCUAACACAGACUCUAAGGGGAAUAGCUGCAGAAUGAUAUUUUUAAUAUCCUGAGUACAGAUCAAAUUUGUAAUACUGGAAAUUGAAAACAUUAUGUAUCCCCUUCUAUAAUUCAUACAGAAUCUGCAAUAGCACCACAAUAUUUUUACCACCUCAUUUCUCAAGUAGAAACAGAUUUUGACAAAAAUCAGCUUUUCUAAUAACAUGCGGCCAAAUCAUAACUGACACGAAAAAGGACGCUAAGGCUAAUGAGCCUGUACUCAUGUGAGCAAGCUGAGAACAUGACCCACGUUUUCCCACACACACCAGUUCCACAUUUCCAUAGCUUGAAGUGAGUUGUUUCUCAGCAAACGCAUCUUUGUUGGGUUUAUUCACUGCUGUUUUUCUAAGUGCAAAACAUUAGCAAUGCAUGAACUUAAAAUUUAAUUAUGAUCUUAAGAUAUUUAUCUUCCCUAAAGUUAGUCCUAGGUGUUUUCUCCCAGCAUAAAAUUUUUCUCCCAGCAUAAAAAAGCAGCUGCAUACUCCCUUUGCCCUACAUAAACGUGAUGCUAGAUCUCAUCUUUUCAGGGAAGUCCUGGAAAAGCAACCUCUGCUCUUGAUCUACAUUGCAGCUUUCAAUAUGCAAAUUCAGACCCCCGUACUACUGGGAGGCUGACUUUUGACUCUAGCAGUAACAGAAGGUGCUGUUUUUCAGGUUUUCUAGACACAGUGCAUCUGUCUGAAUUUAUGCUCCUCUCAAGCUAUUUCACCACACGCAGGAUUGCUGAAUUACAUCCCAUGCAUGGCAAUUCUGCUACUGUUAGUCUAAACAAUGCCCUUGCCCUGCACUUGUUAAUUUUCAUGCUUUACACUAGACCAAGGUAGAAUACGUGGCUAGCUUGGUCCAGCCAGCAGCAGGAAUACACUUGUUGUGUGUACCAAUUCAGGUCCAGCUGAGCAGGAGAUGCAACUCUUGCAUACGCCAGGGCUGGGGCUAGUUAGCCUCCGAGUCUGCAUUUGUGCUUAGCUGUCAGUAGUGCUUGGGCAGCUGCACUGCUGCAGUCAGGCUAUGUGACAGAACAGGCACUGGUUGUAUGGGCUCCUGGCAGUGGGACCUACUAGACCUUGAAUCCUUGCAGCCCUCCUGCACACCCAGCUGAGUUCUCUCCAACUGCACAGGGGGCGUGAGACCCAUGGGGACCUACUAAAAGAGAUUUUCCCAUGCUCUUCUCCACACAGUUUUAUCCUCCUUAAAGAGGGGGAAAACAACAGUUCUCUUAUUUCACUAUAUCCUGCCACUGGUUGGCCUUAAAACACACAGAAAAAGAGACAAAAAGAGAGACGAUAGAAGGCACAGAAGAUCUUGAAAAGUCACAGAGCAGUAGUGAAUGAAAUACUACUGACAGGUAACAAAACACUUCAAUGAUCUUGAUUUUUCUUCUUCAGAAUCCAACAUCAGAUCUCAUCAAACAAUUAUUUACUUUUUUAGUCCUGAUGUUGACCUCUGUUGCUACCGGAAGCAAGCUUUCUCUAUGAAUUUUGGUGCCAACUGCUGAUCUGGACUGUAAUGAUUAGUUUUGCAUUAAGGAUACCAUCUAUUCAAUUUUUUCUCUCCUUUUCACAUGGCUUCCACUCACUUCAAAAACUAGAAACCCUCUUACUUGGAAUAUGGCUUCAGAAUGAGGGGCUGAACUGGCAUGGGUGAACCUGGUUAAGGGGAACAUGUACUCCAUAGGACAAUAAAAAGGUAAACUGAGAUUUAACAGCACAAGUACAAGCAUUCGGCUGUCAAAAGACAAACAAACAUACAAAAAUUUUUACACAGCAGGAUGUCCAAGGAACUUUUAAUCAGAGGUCAGCCUGAGUAAUCACUUUCUCACAAAAGCCAGUUGCCUAAGAGGAAGAUGCAAGAGAGUCUCACACAGAUAGGAAUCACCAGCUUACAGAAGCUGCCCAAGAUCUGCAGUGUUUGCUGAAAGUUGUAUAUAUCUGUACAUUGACAGUUCAUUUAAUCUUAAUCCUUGCUAAUCUGACUCCAGAUGGUGGCACAUCAUAUGCAAAAACAUCAGUUUGUCCAUUUAAGGUAUAAAAACAAUCUUCCUUAUGGAUAAUGUCUAAAUAUUCAAAACUUAAGUAGCUUUUCCUGCCCUAUCUUUGAACUAGGUAUAGAUCACCAGGAUCCACCCCUCCUCCUGACCUGAACUCCUUUGCAGCCCACCCUGUCUCUCAGGAGAGGCAAAGUCCUCCGCACAGGUGUGCAGGAAUUUA